AUGGAAGAGUUGUGUGGGCUUCUCGAAUCCCACACUGAGUCAGUUCACUCCACACUCCACCAGCACCUAGUGGAAGUCGAUUCGAAGGUCGCAAAUCUGCAUGUCGGAGGCAAACAAGCUCAGACUGGAUUUGCCGGAGCGGCAACACAUACAUUCAAAUUAAGCGUACCACGUUUUGAUGGUUCAAAUCUCUUGGAUUGGAUUUUUCAGAUUGAAUCUUUUUUCAACUUCCAUGAAACACUGAAAGAGUCCUGA